rnacentral:rRNA from 1 species
UACAGAGGGCCCAAGCGUUGUUCGGAUUCACUGGGCGUAAAGCGCACGUAGGCGGCUUUUUAAGUCAGAGGUGAAAUCCUGGAGCUCAACUCCAGAACUGCCUUUGAUACUGGAGAGCUUGAGUCCGGGAGAGGUGAGUGGAACUGCGAGUGUAGAGGUGAAAUUCGUAGAUAUUCGGAAGAACACCAGUGGCGAAGGCGACUUACUGGACACAUAUUGACGCUGAGGUGCGAAAGCGUGGGGAGCAAACAGG